rnacentral:rRNA from 1 species
UGAGUAACCUGCCCUAGGCUUUGGGAUAACCCUCGGAAACGGGGGCUAAUACCGGAUAUGACUUCUUGCCGCAUGGUGGGGGGUGGAAAGUUUUUCGGCCUGGGAUGGGCUCGCGGCCUAUCAGCUUGUUGGGUGGGGUGAUGGCCUACCAAGGCGACGACGGGUAGCCGGCCUGAGAGGGCGAUCGACCACACUGGGACUGAGACACGGCCCAGACUCCGUACGGGAGGCAG